UGGGGAAUCUUGGACAAUGGGCGCAAGCCUGAUCCAGCCAUGCCGCGUGUGUGAAGAAGGUCUUCGGAUUGUAAAGCACUUUAAGUUGGGAGGAAGGGCAGUUACCUAAUACGUAUCUGUUUUGACGUUACCGACAGAAUAAGCACCGGCUAACUCUGUGCCAGCAGCCGCGGUAAUACAGAGGGUGCAAGCGUUAAUCGGAAUUACUGGGCGUAAAGCGCGCGUAGGUGGUUUGUUAAGUUGGAUGUGAAAUCCCCGGGCUCAACCUGGGAACUGCAUUCAAAACUGACAAGCUAGAGUAUGGUAGAGGGUGGUGGAAUUUCCUGUGUAGCGGCGAAAUGCGUAGAUAUAGGAAGGAACACCAGUGGCGAAGGCGACCACCUGGACUGAUACUGACACUGAGGUGCGAAAGCGCGGGGAGCAAACAGGAUUAGAUACCCCCGUAGUCCCUUGAGCGGGCUGGCAAGGCGCAU
rnacentral:rRNA from 1 species